CACUAUCGUUAACUGAAUACAUAGGUUAACGAGGCGAACCGGGGGAACUGAAACAUCUAAGUACCCCGAGGAAAAGAAAUCAACCGAGAUUCCCCCAGUAGCGGCGAGCGAACGGGGAGCAGCCCAGAGUCUGAAUCAGCUUGUGUGUUAGUGGAACGGUCUGGAAAGUCCGACGGUACAGGGUGAUAGUCCCGUACACCAAAAUGCACAGGCUGUGAACUCGAAGAGUAGGGCGGGACACGUGGUAUCCUGUCUGAAUAUGGGGGGACCAUCCUCCAAGGCUAAAUACUCCUGACUGACCGAUAGUGAACCAGUACCGUGAGGGAAAGGCGAAAAGAACCCCGGCGAGGGGAGUGAAAAAGAACCUGAAACCGUGUACGUACAAGCAGUGGGAGCACCUUCGGGUGUGACUGCGUACCUUUUGUAUAAUGGGUCAGCGACUUAUAUUCUGUAGCAAGGUUAACCGUAUAGGGGAGCCGCAGGGAAACCGAGUCUUAACUGGGCGUUAAGUUGCAGGGUAUAGACCCGAAACCCGGUGAUCUAGCCAUGGGCAGGUUGAAGGUUGGGUAACACUAACUGGAGGACCGAACCGACUAAUGUUGAAAAAUUAGCGGAUGACUUGUGGCUGGGGGUGAAAGGCCAAUCAAACCGGGAGAUAGCUGGUUCUCCCCGAAAGCUAUUUAGGUAGCGCCUCGUGAAUUCAUCUUCGGGGGUAGAGCACUGUUUCGGCUAGGGGGUCAUCCCGACUUACCAACCCGAUGCAAACUACGAAUACCGAAGAAUGUUAUCACGGGAGACACACGGCGGGUGCUAACGUCCGUCGUGAAGAGGGAAACAACCCAGACCGCCAGCUAAGGUCCCAAAGUCAUGGUUAAGUGGGAAACGAUGUGGGAAGGCACAGACAGCCAGGAUGUUGGCUUAGAAGCAGCCAUCAUUUAAAGAAAGCGUAAUAGCUCACUGGUCGAGUCGGCCUGCGCGGAAGAUGUAACGGGGCUAAACCAUGCACCGAAGCUGCGGCAGCGACACUAUGUGUUGUUGGGUAGGGGAGCGUUCUGUAAGCCUGCGAAGGUGACCUGUGAGGGUUGCUGGAGGUAUCAGAAGUGCGAAUGCUGACAUAAGUAACGAUAAAGCGGGUGAAAAGCCCGCUCGCCGGAAGACCAAGGGUUCCUGUCCAACGUUAAUCGGGGCAGGGUGAGUCGACCCCUAAGGCGAGGCCGAAAGGCGUAGUCGAUGGGAAACAGGUUAAUAUUCCUGUACUUGGUGUUACUGCGAAGGGGGGACGGAGAAGGCUAUGUUAGCCGGGCGACGGUUGUCCCGGUUUAAGCAUGUAGGCUGAUUGUCCAGGCAAAUCCGGAUAAUCAAGGCUGAGGUGUGAUGACGAGGCACUACGGUGCUGAAGUAACAAAUGCCCUGCUUCCAGGAAAAGCCUCUAAGCAUCAGGUAACAUCAAAUCGUACCCCAAACCGACACAGGUGGUCAGGUAGAGAAUACCAAGGCGCUUGAGAGAACUCGGGUGAAGGAACUAGGCAAAAUGGUGCCGUAACUUCGGGAGAAGGCACGCUGGUGUGUAGGUGAAGUCCCUGCGGAUGGAGCUGAGACCAGUCGAAGAUACCAGCUGGCUGCAACUGUUUAUUAAAAACACAGCACUGUGCAAACACGAAAGUGGACGUAUACGGUGUGACGCCUGCCCGGUGCCGGAAGGUUAAUUGAUGGGGUUAUCCGUAAGGAGAAGCUCUUGAUCGAAGCCCCGGUAAACGGCGGCCGUAACUAUAACGGUCCUAAGGUAGCGAAAUUCCUUGUCGGGUAAGUUCCGACCUGCACGAAUGGCGUAAUGAUGGCCAGGCUGUCUCCACCCGAGACUCAGUGAAAUUGAACUCGCUGUGAAGAUGCAGUGUACCCGCGGCAAGACGGAAAGACCCCGUGAACCUUUACUAUAGCUUGACACUGAACAUUGAGCCUUGAUGUGUAGGAUAGGUGGGAGGCUUUGAAGCGUGGACGCCAGUCUGCGUGGAGCCAACCUUGAAAUACCACCCUUUAAUGUUUGAUGUUCUAACGUUGGCCCCUGACCGGGGUUGCGGACAGUGUCUGGUGGGUAGUUUGACUGGGGCGGUCUCCUCCCAAAGCGUAACGGAGGAGCACGAAGGUUAGCUAAUCCUGGUCGGACAUCAGGAGGUUAGUGCAAUGGCAUAAGCUAGCUUGACUGCGAGCGUGACGGCGCGAGCAGGUGCGAAAGCAGGUCAUAGUGAUCCGGUGGUUCUGAAUGGAAGGGCCAUCGCUCAACGGAUAAAAGGUACUCCGGGGAUAACAGGCUGAUACCGCCCAAGAGUUCAUAUCGACGGCGGUGUUUGGCACCUCGAUGUCGGCUCAUCACAUCCUGGGGCUGAAGUAGGUCCCAAGGGUAUGGCUGUUCGCCAUUUAAAGUGGUACGCGAGCUGGGUUUAGAACGUCGUGAGACAGUUCGGUCCCUAUCUGCCGUGGGCGCUGGAGAAUUGAGGGGGGCUGCUCCUAGUACGAGAGGACCGGAGUGGACGCAUCACUGGUGUUCGGGUUGUCAUGCCAAUGGCACUGCCCGGUAGCUAAAUGCGGAAGAGAUAAGUGCUGAAAGCAUCUAAGCACGAAACUUGCCCCGAGAUGAGUUCUCCCUGAGACUUUAAGUCUCCUGAAGGAACGUUAAAGACGAUGACGUUGAUAGGCCGGGUGUGUAAGCGCAGCGAUGCGUUGAGCUAACCGGUACUAAUGAACCGUGAGGCUUAACCUUACAACGCCGAAG
rnacentral:rRNA from 1 species